rnacentral:rRNA from 2 species
UUGUCUCAAAGAUUAAGCCAUGCAUGUCUCAGUACAAGCCACAUUAAGGUGAAACCGCGAAAGGCUCAUUAAAUCAGUUAUGGUUCCUUAGAUCGUACCCACACUUACUUGGAUAACUGUGGUAAUUCUAGAGCUAAUACAUGCAAACAGAGCUCCGACCGGAGACGGGAGGAGUGCUUUUAUUAGAUCAAAACCAAUCGGCGGCGGGCGCGCUCGCGCGUCCGUUCGCCGCUCAACCUGGUGACUCUGAAUAACUUUCCGCUGAUCGCACGGUCUCGCACCGGCGACGCAUCUUUCAAAUGUCUGCCUUAUCAACUGUCGAUGGUAGGUUCUGCGCCUACCAUGGUCGUAACGGGUAACGGGGAAUCAGGGUUCGAUUCCGGAGAGGGAGCCUGAGAAACGGCUACCACAUCCAAGGAAGGCAGCAGGCGCGCAAAUUACCCACUCCCGGCACGGGGAGGUAGUGACGAAAAAUAACGAUACGGGACUCAUCCGAGGCCCCGUAAUCGGAAUGAGUACACUUUAAAUCCUUUAACAAGGACCCAUUGGAGGGCAAGUCUGGUGCCAGCAGCCGCGGUAAUUCCAGCUCCAAUAGCGUA